rnacentral:pre_miRNA from 1 species
AUCUCAUCCUGAUCGCCAGUGUUACAACUGACAGACGCACUGGUUUAUCGCAGACGAAGAAUG